UGGCCGAGGGGUGAAGGCGUUGGAAUUGUAAUCCAAUAGGGAUUUCCUCCGCAGGUUCGAAUCCUCC
rnacentral:tRNA from 1 species